GCGCUGACUAACCAGGUGUCCAUGAUGAAGCGUACCACGGAGGUGUUUGUGUUCCGUGUGAAGGCCAUGCUCACGGUGAACAAAUGUCUUGAGGGCUUUUGGAUGGGCAACUUGAAAAACAAGGAUUAACACGGAGAAGAGAUCUUGUCUCAGUCAGUGGCUGCCAAAGAGGCGAGUAGGGAUAGUGAGGGGGAAACGUUGCCAGAGAAGGAAGAGGAGCUUAGUGAUGUGGAACUGGACAAUUAAAGCACUGCCAGUAACGAGACUGGAGACAAUGAUGUUACUGACCCCGAGGGCUCGCUGAGUCAGGCCUACUGAGCACACGAACAAUGUUGUAAGUCUUACAAAGGUCAUGAUGAAUCUUAA